GAUGAACGCUAGCUACAGGCUUAACACAUGCAAGUCGCGGGGCAGCAUGGGGGUUGCUUGCAAUCCCCGAUGGCGACCGGCGCACGGGUGAGUAACGCGUAUCCAACCUGCCCUUCACCACGGGAUAACCCGGCGAAAGUCGGACUAAUACCGUAUGUUGUCCAUUGACGGCAUCCGAUUUGGACGAACGGUUUGGCGGUGAAGGAUGGGGAUGCGUCUGAUUAGCUGGACGGCGGGGUGACGGCCCACCGUGGCGACGAUCGGUAGGGGUUCUGAGAGGAAGGUCCCCCACACUGGAACUGAGACACGGUCCAGACUCCUACGGGAGGCAGCAGUGAGGAAUAUUGGUCAAUGGGCGUAAGCCUGAACCAGCCAAGUAGCGUGCAGGAUGACGGCCCUAUGGGUCGUAAACUGCUUUUAUGCGGGGAUAAAGUGGCCCACGUGUGGGUUUUUGCAGGUACCGCAUGAAUAAGGACCGGCUAAUUCCGUG
rnacentral:rRNA from 1 species